rnacentral:lncRNA from 1 species
GAGCACAUACCUGUGAAACCACACACCUCCAUUCAUAAUCACAAGGAAACACACUCGCAUAGGGUUGUUUGGAUUGGCUUUUUAAGUUAUCAACUGACAUAAGCACUUCUGAGACCGUUCGGGAGAGCUUAUGAAAACAGCUUAUAAUAUGUAUAUAAGCCGUUUUUAGCUUAUUUUCAUAAACUCUUCAAGAUAGCUUAUGAAAACAGUUUAACAUAUUUUAUCUUUUAAUAUAAAAAUAGCCCAUACCAAAGCACUUAUCAUCACUUAAUCAAGUUGUUUAUCCAAACAGAACCUUAUUCUAGAAAUAAAGAGUGAUAUUUUAGAGAUUGUAAUUAUUCAUGUUUAAUAAUCAAGCUAAUUCAAGUCAAAGGUAUAUACUAUAUAUAUGAUGUUCUAGUUAUUAUAGAACUGGAAAAGCUUAAAAUUUUUUAGAGACCCACAAAUUCAAUUAUUGAAUAUAAAGAAAACACAAUUGGGAAAAAGAAAAAAAAAAGAAUGAAUGAAAAAGCUAUAUACCUGAUCACCAAUUUUCCACUUGGAAACGUUUAUACCAACGCAUACAAUAGUUCCGGAACAUUCAAGACCUGGAUAGGGGCUUGCACCUUGAGGGAUAGGGUAAAAGCCUUUCCUCUGAACGGUGUCGGCACUGUUAAGGGCAGUGGCAU